rnacentral:rRNA from 1 species
CCUACGGGGCGCAGCAGUGGGGAAUAUUGCACAAUGGGGGAAACCCUGAUGCAGCGACGCCGCGUGAGUGAAGAAGUAUCUCGGUACGUAAAGCUCUAUCAGCAGGGAAGAAAAUGAUGGUACCUGACUAAGAAGCCCCGGCUAACUACGUGCCAGCAGCCGCGGUAAUACGUAGGGGGCAAGCGUUAUCCGGAUUUACUGGGUGUAAAGGGAGCGUAGACGGCGAUGCAAGUCUGAAGUGAAAGGCGGGGGCCCAACCCCCGGACUGCUUUGGAAACUGUAUAGCUGGAGUGCAGGAGAGGUAA